rnacentral:misc_RNA from 1 species
UUCAAUUGUCAAUAAUAAUCUUGACCAAUAUACCUAGACAAUAUAUGUAUUUAUGGUUUAAUAACUAGUCCUACUACUAUUACUAUGAUUGACAAAAUACUAAAUGAAUAUUAAUUAAGAAUACCAAACCAACAAAACUAACUAGGAAUUCUAAGCAGUAGAAUUCAUAAAUAAUUAAAAUUUCUAAAUAAUAGGAACCUAAACUUCCUAAUUAUAACAUAAAAUUUGAAUGAAAGAUCUUA